rnacentral:rRNA from 1 species
AAUAGAUACCCAGGUAGUCCACGCCGUAAACGAUGAGUGCUAAGUGUUAGAGGGUUUCCGCCCUUUAGUGCUGCAGCUAACGCAUUAAGCACUCCGCCUGGGGAGUACGGUCGCAAGACUGAAACUCAAAGGAAUUGACGGGGGCCCGCACAAGCGGUGGAGCAUGUGGUUUAAUUCGAAGCAACGCGAAGAACCUUACCAGGUCUUGACAUCCUCUGACAACUCUAGAGAUAGAGCGUUCCCCUUCGGGGGACAGAGUGACAGGUGGUGCAUGGUUGUCGUCAGCUCGUGUCGUGAGAUGUUGGGUUAAGUCCCGCAACGAGCGCAACCCUUGAUCUUAGUUGCCAGCAUUUAGUUGGGCACUCUAAGGUGACUGCCGGUGACAAACCGGAGGAAGGUGGGGAUGACGUCAAAUCAUCAUGCCCCUUAUGACCUGGGCUACACACGUGCUACAAUGGAUGGUACAAAGGGCUGCAAGACCGCGAGGUCAAGCCAAUCCCAUAAAACCAUUCUCAGUUCGGAUUGU